UUCUUUAAGAUAUUUUUUAAAGUAAAACCUGCUCCAUGUAAAAUAAAUAGCCGCAGUUUACUGUGCUAAGGUAGCAUAAUCAUUAGCUCUAUAAUUAAGAGAUAGAAUGAAAGGUUAAACGUAAUUUUUACUGUCUUCUAAACCCUUCAUUAAUUUUAUUCUCUGGUUAAAAAUCCAGUCUACAGCAAUAGGACGACAAGACCCUAAUAAACUCUCUCAUUUCGCUGGGGCGGCGUUACAAAAAAACCUUAUCAUUAACUUCCCUCAAAUCUAUUACUAAUAAUUAAGAUAUAGUUACUAUAGGGAUAACAGCGUUACUUCUUUCUAAAGUUCAAAUUCAAAAAGAAAUCUACGACCUCGAUGUUGAAUUAAUCAUUCUUUUACAAAGCAAGAUUUUAAAAAGAUAGCCUGUUCGUCUAU
rnacentral:rRNA from 1 species